GACAGAGGGGGCAAGCGUUGCUCGGAAUCACUGGGCGUAAAGGGCGCGUAGGCGGGAUGGCAAGUCGGUCGUGAAAUCUCAGAGCUCAACUCUGAAACUGCACUCGAUACUGCUUUGCUUGAGGACUGGAGAGGAGAUUGGAAUUCACGGUGUAGCAGUGAAAUGCGUAGAUAUCGUGAGGAAGACCAGUGGCGAAGGCGGAUCUCUGGACAGUUCCUGACGCUGAGGCGCGAAAGCUAGGGGAGCAAACGGG
rnacentral:rRNA from 1 species